AUGAAACCUGAUACGAAUUGCAGUUGGCCGAAGAAGUGGAGCGCCGUUGACCGCCGUAGAAGCUCUGGUUUAGGGUUUUUUCGUGAAGAAAAUCUGACUGAGAAUAGAAAACUACUUCUUCUUACAUUCAAGAGCAAGAAACAAAGGACAAAAUCACAAUCUAUUUCAGGAAGACAAAGAAAUAGGAUUGUGACUACCGAGGAAUAA